UUGCCGGAAUCGGUUUCAACGCGAACUUGUUUACCAGAAGUACUGAGAACUUCAGCAGGUAACCAAGCCAAAUCCCUGUCAGGGACCCAAACCUUGGAGCCCUUUCGUAAACUCAUAGUGAAUGAACGAAGAGAGAAGAAUGAUUCAAAACUGAAACCCUAAGCUUUGUAGAGAGAGAGAGAGAGAGAGAGAGAGAGGACAAAAUGGAAUAGAGAGAGAGUUAGAGAGAGAAAUGGAGUGAGUGUUACGACGGGAUUGAAGUGAAAUUUGGGUUCCCGCCCUAACGGUACAGUACAGACUAUGAGUCAAAAAAUGGCGAAACUGCAAAAUAUUAUUUAUAUCGUAUUCGACACGUCACCACCGUACCCACUCUCUUUCAAUAUGUUCACCUUCUCUUUACGCCUUCACCGUACCCACUUUUGUUUUUUGGGAACCCUAACGGGACAAUUAACAUCAACUUUUUUUUUUUAUAUAUAAAUUAACGUCAAUUAUUUAUUACGAUAUCUAUCUAUUAUUCGUUUUAUUAACUUCAGCAGGUAACCAAGCCAAAUCCCUGUCAGGGACCCAAACCUUGGAGCCCUUUCGUAAACUCAUAGUGAAUGAACGAAGAGAGAAGAAUGAUUCAAAACUGAAACCCUAAGCUUUGUAGAGAGAGAGAGAGAGAGAGAGAGAGGACAAAAUGGAAUAGAGAGAGAGUUAGAGAGAGAAAUGGAGUGAGUGUUACGACGGGAUUGAAGUGAAAUUUGGGUUCCCGCCCUAACGGUACAGUACAGACUAUGAGUCAAAAAAUGGCGAAACUGCAAAAUAUUAUUUAUAUCGUAUUCGACACGUCACCACCGUACCCACUCUCUUUCAAUAUGUUCACCUUCUCUUUACGCCUUCACCGUACCCACUUUUGUUUUUUGGGAAC
rnacentral:lncRNA from 1 species